rnacentral:miRNA from 1 species
GUUUGUGGAAACACCACGUAAAUUUAUUACUGCAAAGCUUUCGAUUAUUAGCACUGAUGAAGAUCCAGGCUUACGGAUCGAAAGCUUUGCAGUAAUAAAUUUACGUGGUGUUUCCACAAACAAAACCAU